GCAGCGGCGGCAGUCCGGAGUAGAGCGCCGUGCCGGGCCCGGAGGGCGGGGAGGCAGAUCGAGAGCGGACGGCCUGUGCAUGCACGCGGGCGUGCGAGGGUGUUGUGAGGAGAAGCAAAAAGGUAGACCUUUGCGUGGUCGAAGCAGCAUAGUCCCUGCCGGCCCAGCCUCUCCUAAGCUAAUCACCGUCUAACGGCGAGGUGUAACAACGCCCUCGCUAUCACACCCGCGGCUGCCACCCACCCGCAACUGCUGUUGCUGCUGCUGGUACAGGCGCUUGGCCGCCACUGCCCGCUGCAGCGGCUCCCGGUUAAGCACCGCCGCCCCGCCAGUGCUGUUGCCAGUGCCAGGCUGGGCCCCACCAUCAGCCAACGGUGCCUCUGGCCGUGGUGUUCCUGCAGCUGAGCCGGCCGCCGUUGAAGCGCCGCCGCCGGCCUGACUCCUGCCCUGGCCUCGCGACGUUGGCCCUUGCCGGCCGCCAUUUGACCCGCCUCCGCCACCCCCGCCGCCUGCUGCCGCCGCCCCUGCUCCGGGCCCUGCCCCUGCCCCGACCCCUGCCCCUGCUGUGCUGUUGUUGCUGCUGGGCGGUAUGGCGGCCUUGAGGGCGGUGAGCAGGCCCUUGUACGAGUCCCGUAGCAGCGCGGUGAAGGCCUCGUCCCGGUCCGGCAUGGAGCGGCUGGCCUGGUAUGAUUGCGUUGGUUGUGAUGGUGGUAUUGAGCGGUGGCGAUGGUGAU
rnacentral:lncRNA from 1 species